GAUGAACGCUGGCGGCGUACCUAAUACAUGCAAGUCGAGCGAACGGACGAGAAGCUUGCUUCUCUGAUGUUAGCGGCGGACGGGUGAGUAACACGUGGAUAACCUACCUAUAAGACUGGGAUAACUUCGGGAAACCGGAGCUAAUACCGGAUAAUAUUUUGAACCGCAUGGUUCAAAAGUGAAAGACGGUCUUGCUGUCACUUAUAGAUGGAUCCGCGCUGCAUUAGCUAGUUGGUAAGGUAACGGCUUACCAAGGCAACGAUGCAUAGCCGACCUGAGAGGGUGAUCGGCCACACUGGAACUGAGACACGGUCCAGACUCCUACGGGAGGCAGCAGUAGGGAAUCUUCCGCAAUGGGCGAAAGCCUGACGGAGCAACGCCGCGUGAGUGAUGAAGGUCUUCGGAUCGUAAAACUCUGUUAUUAGGGAAGAACAUAUGUGUAAGCAACUGUGCACAUCUUGACGGUACCUAAUCAGAAAGCCACGGCUAACUACGUG
rnacentral:rRNA from 1 species